rnacentral:lncRNA from 1 species
ACAGAUACAAAAGGGGACGAAUUUUACCUAGGAUUGUUAACAAGUAACAACCAAAAUGGAAAACUAUAUUUGUAUAUAGUGUCCACAACUGACGGAUCAUGUGAAAUCUUUAUCCCAUUUCUGAACAUACAUUCGUCAUUCGCAAUAUCUAACACGAGCAUAAACUUAUACGACAUUAGCCCGUCUUUGGUUAUGAAUCAACUUGGUGUACAGAGAAAAGUUAUUCACGUAAGAUGUAAUAAUCCCGUGUCUAUUUAUGGUUUUACUUAAAACUGGUAACGAGGUUGAUGGAUUUCUUGCUCUUCCAUCAAAAUCUUUAGAAACAAAUACAUAGUUUCAUCAUUUACACCGUGGACUA